AGUGACGGAAACGAGCUAGUGCGUCGGAGGGAGCUCUAUGGUUUUUCUCUCGUUCUUGGGUCGGGAAAUGGCCGCUGUAUAGUUACGACGAAGAUAAGUCCUGGGAACCGUGUUUCGGCGUGUCAGGAAUUUGAAUUUGAGUUUACUAUCUCAGAACAUUCUCUUCAGGAAGAAUUUCACAGUAUUUCAAAGACUUCACUUGGCUGCUUGAUCCUGCAAAAAACCCCAAGGAGAAAAGAAAUGGGUCGCUCCAAUUCUAGAUCACAUUCGUCAAGAUCAAAGUCUAGAUCGCAGUCUAGUUCUCGAUCAAGAUCAAGGUCACACUCUAGAAAGAAGAGAUACAGUUCUAGGUCUCGUUCCAGGACGUAUUCAAGAUCUCGUAGUAGAGAUCGUAUUUAUUCCAGAGAUUAUCGGCGAGAUUACAGAAAUAAUAGAGGAAUGAGACGACCUUAUGGGUACAGAGGAAGGGGAAGAGGGUAUUAUCAAGGUGGAGGAGGUAGAUAUCAUCGAGGUGGCUAUAGACCUGUCUGGAACAGAAGACACUCUAGGAGUCCUAGACGAGGUCGUUCACGUUCCAGGAGUCCAAAAAGAAGAUCCGUUUCUUCUCAAAGAUCCCGAAGCAGAUCUCGCCGGUCAUAUAGAUCCUCUAGGUCUCCAAGAUCAUCCUCUUCUCGUUCUUCAUCCCCGUAUAGCAAAUCUCCUGUCUCUAAAAGACGAGGGUCUCAGGAAAAACAAACCAAAAAAUCUGAAGGGGAACCCCAAGAAGAGAGUCCUUUGAAAAAUAAAUCACAGGAGGAACCGAAAGAUACAUUUGAACAUGACCCAUCUGAAUCUAUUGAUGAAUUUAAUAAAUCAUCAGCCACAUCUGGUGAUAUUUGGCCUGGCCUUUCAGCUUAUGAUAAUAGUCCCAGAUCACCCCAUAGUCCUUCACCAAUUGCUACACCACCUAGUCAGAGUUCAUCUUGCUCUGAUGCGCCCAUGCUCAGUACAGUCCACUCUGCAAAAAACACCCCUUCUCAGCAUUCACAUUCCAUUCAGCAUAGUCCUGAAAGGUCUGGUUCUGGUUCUGUUGGAAACGGAUCUAGUCGAUAUAGUCCUUCUCAGAAUAGUCCGAUUCAUCACAUCCCUUCACGAAGAAGCCCUGCAAAGACAAUCACACCACAGAAUGCUCCAAGAGAUGAGGCUAGGGGACGUUCCUCAUUUUAUCCUGAUGGUGGAGAUCAGGAAACUGCGAAGACAGGAAAAUUCUUGAAAAGGUUCACAGAUGAAGAGUCUAGAGUAUUCCUGCUUGAUAGGGGUAAUACCAGGGAUAAAGAGGCUGCAAAGGAGAAAGGAUCAGAGAAAGGGAGGGCAGAGGGAGAAUGGGAAGAUCAGGAAGCUCUAGAUUAUUUCAGUGAUAAAGAGUCUGGAAAACAAAAGUUUAAUGAUUCAGAAGGGGAUGACACUGAGGAGACAGAGGAUUAUAGACAGUUCAGGAAGUCAGUCCUUGCAGAUCAGGGUAAAAAUUUUGCUACUACAUCUCACCGGAAUACUGAGGAGGAAGGAACCAAGUACAAGUCCAAAGUUUCACUGAAAGGCAAUAGAGAAAGUGAUGGAUUUAGAGAAGAAAAAAAUUACAAACUUAAAGAGACUGGAUAUGUAGUGGAAAGGCCUAGCACUACAAAAGAUAAGCACAAGGAAGACGACAAAAAUUCUGAGAGAAUAACAGUAAAGAAAGAAACUCAGUCACCUGAGCAGGUAAAGUCUGAAAAGCUCAAAGACCUCUUUGAUUACAGUCCCCCUCUACACAAGAAUCUGGAUGCACGAGAAAAGUCUACCUUCAGAGAGGAGAGCCCACUUAGAAUCAAAAUGAUAGCCAGUGAUUCUCAUCGUCCUGAAGUCAAACUCAAAAUGGCCCCUGUUCCUCUUGAUGAUUCUAACAGACCUGCUUCCUUGACUAAAGACAGGCUACUUGCUAGUACACUUGUCCAUUCUGUCAAGAAGGAGCAAGAAUUCCGAUCCAUCUUUGACCACAUUAAGUUGCCACAGGCCAGCAAAAGCACUUCAGAGUCAUUUAUUCAGCACAUUGUGUCCUUGGUUCAUCAUGUUAAAGAGCAAUACUUCAAAUCACCUGCGAUGACCCUAAACGAGAGGUUCACUUCCUAUCAGAAAGCCACUGAAGAACAUAGUACUCGGCAAAAGAGCCCUGAGAUACACAGGAGAAUUGACAUCUCUCCAAGUGCCCUGAGGAAGCAUACCCGAUUAGCAGGGGAAGAGAGAGUUUUUAAAGAAGAAAUUCAGAAGGGAGAUAAAAAAUUAAGGUGUGAUUCUGCUGAUCUUCGGCAUGACAUUGAUCGUCGGAGAAAAGAAAGAAGUAAAGAACGGGGGGAUUCCAAGGGCUCCAGGGAAUCCAGUGGUUCAAGAAAGCAGGAAAAAACUCCAAAAGAUUACAAGGAAUACAAAUCUUACAAAGAAGACAGCAAAAAUGUAUUUGUCUUUUACUCGGCUUAUGGUGGAUGAGGACAAAAACUUUGGAAUAGCAAGCUAACACUGAAAAAAAAAAUGACAAAUUAAUGUGUCCUAUUAUCCAGGCUACAUCAGGAGGUUGGACUUCAAUGCAGUGCAUUUCUAGAAACAGUUUGUUAAACAUAAAAGUAGAGAGCAAGAUCAUUCUCGAUCUUCAUCCUCUUCAGCAUCACCUUCUUCUCCCAGUUCUCGAGAAGAAAAGGAGAGUAAGAAGGAAAGAGAAGAAGAAUUUAAAACUCACCAUGAACUGAAAGAAUACUCAGGCUUUGCAGGAGUUAGCCGACCACGAGGAACCUUUUUUCGAAUUAGAGGCAGAGGAAGAGCCAGAGGAGUUUUUGCUGGGACAAAUACUGGUCCAAACAACUCAAAUACUACUUUUCAAAAGAGACCGAAGGAAGAGGAAUGGGAUCCAGAAUAUACCCCAAAGAGCAAGAAGUACUUCUUGCAUGAUGACAGAGAUGAUGGUGUGGAUUAUUGGGCCAAAAGAGGAAGAGGUCGUGGUACUUUUCAACGUGGCAGAGGGCGCUUUAACUUCAAAAAGUCAGGUAGCAGUCCAAAAUGGACUCAUGAUAAAUACCAAGGGGACGGGAUUGUUGAAGAUGAAGAAGAGACCAUGGAAAAUAGUGAAGAAAAGAAGGACAGACGCAAAGAAGAAAAGGAGUAGUAAAUCUGAAGUGAGAUCGCAACAGAGAGCAGAACUUGCACCCACCAUUUUUUUUUUUUUUACCUGAUUUUUGUUUUCAAAUAAGAA